UCGUAACAAGGUCUCCGUUGGUGAACCAGCGGAGGGAUCAUUACCGAGUUUACAACUCCCAAACCCAAUGUGAACGUUACCAAUCUGUUGCCUCGGCGGGAUUCUCUGCCCCGGGCGCGUCGCAGCCCCGGAUCCCAUGGCGCCCGCCGGAGGACCAACUCAAACUCUUUCUUCUCUCCGUCGCGGCCUACGUCGCGGCUCUGUUUUAUCUUUGCUCUGAGCCUUUCUCGGCGACCCUAGCGGGCGUCUCGAAAAUGAAUCAAAACUUUCAACAACGGAUCUCUUGGUUCUGGCAUCGAUGAAGAACGCAGCGAAAUGCGAUAAGUAAUGUGAAUUGCAGAAUUCAGUGAAUCAUCGAAUCUUUGAACGCACAUUGCGCCCGCCAGUAUUCUGGCGGGCAUGCCUGUCCGAGCGUCAUUUCAACCCUCGAACCCCUCCGGGGGGUCGGCGUUGGGGAUCGGCCCCUCACCGGGCCGCCCCCGAAAUACAGUGGCGGUCUCGCCGCAGCCUCUCCUGCGCAGUAGUUUGCACACUCGCACCGGGAGCGCGGCGCGGCCACAGCCGUAAAACACCCCAAACUCUGAAAUGUUGACCUCGGAUCAGGUAGGAAUACCCGCUGAACUUAAGCAUAUCA
rnacentral:misc_RNA from 1 species